UUCACUUUUUAAAUGAAAACAUGGACAGUUGGAACGAUACAGAGAAGAUUAGCAUGGCCCAUGUGCAAGGAUGACAUGCAAAUUUCAUGAAGCAUUCCAUGGACAG